AGAGAACAGUACUGGCCCAUUGGCGGUAG
rnacentral:sRNA from 1 species